rnacentral:misc_RNA from 1 species
GAAAUGCGAUAAGUAAUGUGAAUUGCAGAAUUCAGUGAAUCAUCGAAUCUUUGAACGCACAUUGCGCCCCUUGGUAUUCCAUGGGGCAUGCCUGUUCGAGCGUCAUUUGUACCUUCAAGCUCUGCUUGGUGUUGGGUGUUUUGUCUCGCCUCUGCGUGUAGACUCGCCUUAAAACAAUUGGCAGCCGGCGUAUUGAUUUCGGAGCGCAGUACAUCUCGCGCUUUGCACUCAUAACGACGACGUCCAAAAGUACAUUUUUACACUCUUGACCUCGGAUCAGGUAGGGAUACCCGCUGAACUUAAGC